GAUGAACGCUGGCGGCGUGCCUAAUACAUGCAAGUCGAGCGAAUGGAUUAAGAGCUUGCUCUUAUGAAGUUAGCGGCGGACGGGUGAGUAACACGUGGGUAACCUGCCCAUAAGACUGGGAUAACUCCGGGAAACCGGGGCUAAUACCGGAUAACAUUUUGAACCGCAUGGUUCGAAAUUGAAAGGCGGCUUCGGCUGUCACUUAUGGAUGGACCCGCGUCGCAUUAGCUAGUUGGUGAGGUAACGGCUCACCAAGGCAACGAUGCGUAGCCGACCUGAGAGGGAGUUCGGCUACACUGAGACUGAGACACGGCCCAGAAUCCUACGGGAGGCAGCAGUAGGGAAUCUUCCGCAAUGGACGAAAGUCUGACGGAGCAACGCCGCGUGAGUGAUGAAGGCUUUCGGGUCGUAAAACUCUGUUGUUAGGGAAGAACAAGUGCUAGUUGAAUAAGCUGGCACCUUGACGGUACCUAACCAGAAAGCCACGGCUAACUACGUGCCAGCAGCCGCAGUAA
rnacentral:rRNA from 1 species